GACGAACGCUGGCGGCGUGCUUAACACAUGCAAGUCGAACGGAAAGGCCCUGCUUUUGUGGGGUGCUCGAGUGGCGAACGGGUGAGUAACACGUGAGUAACCUGCCCUUGACUUUGGGAUAACUUCAGGAAACUGGGGCUAAUACCGGAUAGGAGCUCCUGCUGCAUGGUGGGGGUUGGAAAGUUUCGGCGGUUGGGGAUGGACUCGCGGCUUAUCAGCUUGUUGGUGGGGUAGUGGCUUACCAAGGCUUUGACGGGUAGCCGGCCUGAGGGGGUGACCGGCCACAUUGGGACUGAGAUACGGCCCAGACUCCUACGGGAGGCAGCAGUGGGGAAUAUUGCACAAUGGGCGGAAGCCUGAUGCAGCAACGCCGCGUGCGGGAUGGCGGCCUUCGGGUUGUAAACCGCUUUCGCCUGUGACGAAGCGUGAGUGACGGUAAUGGGUAAAGAAGCACCGGCUAACUACGUG
rnacentral:rRNA from 1 species